rnacentral:misc_RNA from 1 species
UCCGAGUUGACCCCGGCAGUCUCCUGCGAGUCCCCGCCAUUACGCGCUGGCAACACAGGACAAGGGUUGCGCUCGUUGCGGGACUUAACCCAACAUGUCACCACACGAGCUGACGACAGCCAUGCAGCACCUGUCUCCUGGUCGUAUUGCUACGAACCCCGUGUCUCCACGGGUGGCCAGGGAUGUCAAACCCAGGUAAGGUUUUUCGCGUUGCUUCGAAUUAAACCACAUGAUCCACCGCUUGUGCGGGCCCCCGUCAAUUCCUUUGAGUUUUAGUCUUGCGACCGUACUUCCCAGGCGGGGUACUUAUUGCGUUAGCUCCGGCUCGGCAGGGGUCAAGACCCACCAAGCCUAGUACCCAUCGUUUACGGCGUGGACUAC